rnacentral:rRNA from 1 species
UUGACGGGACCGCACAAGCGGUGGAUGAUGUGGUUAAUUCGAUGCAACGCGAAAACCUUACCACCUUUGACAUGUACGGAAGUUGCCAGAGAUGGCUUCGUGCUCGAAAGAGAGCCGUAACACAGGUGCUGCAUGGCUGUCGUCAGCUCGUGUCGUGAGAUGUUGGGUUAAGUCCCGCAACGAGCGCAACCCUUGUCAUUAGUUGCUACGAAAGGGCACUCUAAUGAGACUGCCGGUGACAAACCGGAGGAAGGUGGGGAUGACGUCAAGUCCUCAUGGCCCUUAUAGGUGGGGCUACACACGUCAUACAAUGGCUGGUACAAAGGGUUGCCAACCCGCGAGGGGGAGCCAAUCCCAUAAAGCCAGUCGUAGUCCGGAUCGCAGUCUGCAACUCGACUGCGUGAAGUCGGAAUCGCUAGUAAUCGCGGAUCAGCAUGUCGCGGUGAAUACGUUCCCGGGUCUU